rnacentral:lncRNA from 1 species
CUGAGAACAAGAGUGGCCCCCUGAAAGCAUCUAACACUCCUGGAUCGGCGGUCUUGACAAACAGAGAUAACUCCAGUGAUGUAAUGGAGGGGUGGGGAAAGCACUGGUCUCACAGCUCCAGCUCUCUUAGAAAGUUCACUGAUGCUAAUGCAGCUGGUGUCUGGAACCCCAUCAGCUGUCUUCACCUGGGUGACAUUUUGCUUUUCAUUGUGACCAAAGAGCACUAUCCUCAGUAUGAUGUUGACAAUCUCUUCAACACCAAUGCUGCAUUUGACUGGGGACAAUUCCGACAUCUAGCUAAGGACCUCCAAAGAUCUUCCUCCAGCCCUGCCCAUUUUACAGUGGCUUUCAGUGAGCCAGGAGUUUAUGCCUUUCGCUUGAGUAGCCACCACCACAAACAUAUGGUACUGUCCAUAUAACUGGAGCAAACGUCCCUUUUAUUCAACACCCCUGUUAGGGACUGUUUAAAUAGGACUGCUCAGGCAUUUAUAAUGAGAUCAUAAUCAUUAGCCUUAUUAUUAUUUUAUUAGUUAAUAGUAGUAAUAGCAUUUAAGUACUAG